CCAGACUCCUACGGGAGGCAGCAGUGAGGAAUAUUGGUCAAUGGCCGGGAGACUGAACCAGCCAAGCCGCGUGAGGGAGGAAGGUACAGAGCAUCGUAAACCUCUUUUGCCAGGGAACAAAAGCGGGGACGCGUCCCCGGAUGAGGGUACCCGGAGAAAAAGCAUCGGCUAACUCCGUGCCAGCAGCCGCGGUAAUACGGAGGAUGCGAGCGUUAUCCGGAUUUAUUGGGUUUAAAGGGAGCGUAGAUGGGUUGUUAAGUCAGGUGUGAAAGUGUGCGGCUCAACCGUAAAAUUGCAAUUGAUACUGGCAGUCUUGAGUACAGUUGAGGUAAGCGGAAUUCGUGGUGUAGCGGUGAAAUGCUUAGAUAUCACGAAGAACCCCGAUUGCGAAGGCAGCUUACUAAACUGUGACUGACAUUGAUGCUCGAAAGCGUGGGGAUCAAACAGGAUUAGAUACCCUUGUA
rnacentral:rRNA from 1 species